UCACAAAAGUGAGCAAGGGAAAUAUUUAUAGCUCUAGGAUCGGCCUGUACGGUAUCAGCUAGUUGGUGAGGUAAUGGCUCACCAAGGCAAUGACACCUAACUGGUUUGAGAGGAUGAUCAGUCACACUGGAACUGAGACACGGUCCAGACUCCUACGGGAGGCAGCAGUGGGGGAUAUUGCACAAUGGACGAAAGUCUGAUGCAGCAACGCCGCGUGGAGGAUGACACAUUUCGGUGCGUAAACUCCUUUUAUAUAGGAAGAUAAUGACAGUACUAUAUGAAUAAGCACCGGCUAACUCCGUGCCAGCAGCCGCGGUAAUACGGAGGGUGCAAGCGUUACUCGGAAUUACUGGGCGUAAAGAGCGUGUAGGCGGGUAAAUAAGUUGGAAGUGAAAUCCUAUGGCUCAACCAUAGAACUGCUUCCAAAAACUGUUAACCUAGAAUGUGGGAGAGGUAGAUGGAAUUUCUGGUGUAGGGGUAAAAUCCGUAGAUAUCAGAAGGAAUACCGAUUGCGAAGGCGAUCUACUGGAACACUAUUGACGCUGAGACGCGAAAGCGUGGGGAGCAAACAGGAUUAGAUACCCUGGUAGUCCACGCCCUAAACGAUGUACACUAGUUGUUGUGAGGCUAGACCUUGCAGUAAUGCAGUUAACACAUUAAGUGUACCGCCUGGGGAGUACGGUCGCAAGAUUAAAACUCAAAGGAAUAGACGGGGACCCGCACAAGCGGUGGAGCAUGUGGUUUAAUUCGACAAUACGCGAAGAACCUUACCUGGUCUUGACAUAGAAAGAACUUUCCAGAGAUGGAUUGGUGCCUGCUUGCAGGAGCUUUCAUACAGGUGCUGCACGGCUGUCGUCAGCUCGUGUCGUGAGAUGUUGGGUUAAGUCCCGCAACGAGCGCAACCCUCGUCGUUAGUUGCUAACAGUUCGGCUGAGAACUCUAACGAGACUGCCUACGCAAGUAGGAGGAAGGUGAGGACGACGUCAAGUCAUCAUGGCCCUUACGACCAGGGCUACACACGUGCUACAAUGGGGUAUACAAAGAGCAGCGAUACGGUGACGUGGAGCGAAUCUCAAAAAUGCCUCCCAGUUCGGAUAGUAGUCUGCAACACGACUACUUGAAGUUGGAAUCGCUAGUAAUCGUAGAUCAGCUAUGCUACGGUGAAUACGUUCCCGGGUCUUGUACUCACCGCCCGUCACACCAUGGGAGUUGAAUUCAUUCGAAGCGGGGAUGCUAAAAUAGCUACCUUCCACA
rnacentral:rRNA from 1 species